GUUGAACGCUGGCGGCAGGCCUAACACAUGCAAGUCGAACGGUAACAGGAAGCAGCUUGCUGCUUUGCUGACGAGUGGCGGACGGGUGAGUAAUGUCUGGGAAACUGCCUGAUGGAGGGGGAUAACUACUGGAAACGGUAGCUAAUACCGCAUAACGUCGCAAGACCAAAGAGGGGGACCUUAGGGCCUCUUGCCAUCGGAUGUGCCCAGAUGGGAUUAGCUAGUAGGUGGGGUAACGGCUCACCUAGGCGACGAUCCCUAGCUGGUCUGAGAGGAUGACCAGCCACACUGGAACUGAGACACGGUCCAGACUCCUACGGGAGGCAGCAGUGGGGAAUAUUGCACAAUGGGCGCAAGCCUGAUGCAGCCAUGCCGCGUGUAUGAAGAAGGCCUUCGGGUUGUAAAGUACUUUCAGCGGGGAGGAAGGGAGUAAAGUUAAUACCUUUGCUCAUUGACGUUACCCGCAGAAGAAGCACCGGCUAACUCCGUG
rnacentral:rRNA from 1 species